UACAGAGGUCUCAAGCGUUGUUCGGAUUCAUUGGGCGUAAAGGGCGCGUAGGCGGGCUGGUCGGUCAGGGGUGAAAUCCUCCGGCUCAACCGGAGAACAGCCUUUGAUACCGCCAGUCUCGAGGGAGGUAGGGGCAUGUGGAACUUCCGGUGGAGCGGUGAAAUGCGUAGAUAUCGGAAGGAACGCCGGUGGCGAAAGCGACGUGCUGGACCUCUUCUGACGCUGAGGCGCGAAAGCCAGGGGAGCAAACGGG
rnacentral:rRNA from 1 species